rnacentral:rRNA from 1 species
AUACGGAGGAUGCGAGCGUUAUCCGGAUUUAUUGGGUUUAAAGGGUGCGUAGGCGGACGAUUAAGUCAGCGGUUAAAUCGUGGGGCUCAACCCCAUUCUGCCGUUGAUACUGGGUGGCUUGAUUGCGGUCGAGGUUGGCGGAAUUCGUUGUGUAGCGGUGAAAUGCAUAGAUAUUACACAGAACGCCGAUUGUGAAGACACCUCACGAAGCGGUAACUGACGCUGAGGCGCGAAAGCACGGGGAGCAAACAGGAUUAGAUACCCUGGUAGUCCGUGCCGUAAACGAUGAAUACUAGGUGUAGGGGGUAUCGACUCCCUCUGUGCCGCAGUUAACACAUUAAGUAUUCCACCUGGGGAGUACGGCCGCAAGGUUGAAACUCAAAUGAAUUGACGGGG